AGUGCAAUCUCAAAAACUUGGCUUAUUUCAGAUUUAUUGAGAUUUUCAUCAUCUGGUUCUUUUCCGUUAACCUCUGGUUUCUCAGGCAAGGGCUCAUUCUGCAGAACUUUCAGUGCUUUAGCAGCUGCAUCGUGCUUAGCAGCUUGUCUUGUUCUUCCUUUCCCAUGAAACUGUUGCCCCCCAAUUGAAAGCUCAACUUGAUAAAGUAAAGGCCCAACAGGAAAUGGGUAAAAGUACCGUGGAGGAUAAGUACCACCUCUCAUUGUAUAGUUGUAAGUGGAUCUCAUCCCUGUAUAAGGAUCAAUAGGUUUAUACAUAGGUUUCUUU
rnacentral:lncRNA from 1 species